GUGAGGAAUAUUGGUCAAUGGCCGAGAGGCUGAACCAGCCAAGUCGCGUGAGGGAUGACGGCCCUACGGGUUGUAAACCUCUUUUGUCAGGGAGCAAAGAACGUCACGUGUGGCGUCUCGAGAGUACCUGAAGAAAAAGCAUCGGCUAACUCCGUGCCAGCAGCCGCGGUAAUACGGAGGAUGCGAGCGUUAUCCGGAUUUAUUGGGUUUAAAGGGUGCGCAGGCGGACUGUCAAGUCAGCGGUAAAAUUGCGGGGCUCAACCCCGUCUAGCCGUUGAAACUGGCGGUCUUGAGUGAGCGAGAAGUAUGCGGAAUGCGUGGUGUAGCGGUGAAAUGCAUAGAUAUCACGCAGAACUCCGAUUGCGAAGGCAGCAUACCGGCGCUCAACUGACGCUCAUGCACGAAAGCGUGGGUAUCGAACAGGA
rnacentral:rRNA from 1 species